AGAGUUUGAUCAUGGCUCAGGACGAACGCUGGCGGCGUGCUUAACACAUGCAAGUCGAGCGAGCCCCUUCCUUCGGGAGGGUGUGCUAGCGGCGAACGGGUGAGUAACACGUGGGCAACCUGCCCUCAGCUCUGGGAUAACUCCAAGAAAUUGGGGCUAAUACCGGAUAUGACCGCUGACCGCAUGGUCUGGUGGUGGAAAGAUUUAUCGGCUGGGGAUGGGCCCGCGGCCUAUCAGCUUGUUGGUGGGGUAGUGGCCUACCAAGGCGACGACGGGUAGCCGGCCUGAGAGGGUGACCGGCCACACUGGGACUGAGACACGGCCCAGACUCCCACGGGAGGCAGCAGUGGGGAAUAUUGCGCAAUGGGCGAAAGCCUGACGCAGCGACGCCGCGUGGGGGAUGACGGCCUUCGGGUUGUAAACCUCUUUCAGCAGGGACGAAGCGAAAGUGACGGUACCUGCAGAAGAAGCACCGGCCAACUACGUGCCAGCAGCCGCGGUAAUACGUAGGGUGCAGGCGUUAGUCGGAAUUACUGGGCGUAAAGCGUGCGCAGGCGGUUUGCUAAGACAGGUGUGAAAUCCCCGAGCUUAACUUGGGAACUGCGCUUGUAACUGGCAAGCUAGAGUGUGGCAGAGGGGGGUGGAAUUCCACGUGUAGCAGUGAAAUGCGUAGAGAUGUGGAGGAACACCGAUGGCGAAGGCAGCCCCCUGGGCUAACACUGACGCCCAUGCACGAAAGCGUGGGGAGCAAACAGGAUUAGAUACCCUGGUAGUCC
rnacentral:rRNA from 1 species